CACGUAGGGUGCGAGCGUUGUCCGGAAUUAUUGGGCGUAAAGAGCUCGUAGGCGGUGUGUCGCGUCGGCCGUGAAAACCUGCAGCUUAACUGUGGGCGUGCGGUCGAUACGGGCAUCACUGGAGUUCGGCAGGGGAGACUGGAAUUCCUGGUGUAGCGGUGAAAUGCGCAGAUAUCGGGAGGAACACCGGUGGCGAAGGCGGGUCUCUGGGCCGAUACUGACGCUGAGGAGCGAAAGCGUGGGGAGCGAACAGG
rnacentral:rRNA from 1 species